UAUCCAGGGCUACACACACGCUACAAUGGUCUGUACAAUGGGUAGCCAAGCCGCGAGGCGGAGCCAAUCCUGAAAGCAGGCCUCAGUUCAGAUUGCAGUCUGCAACUCGACUGCAUGAAGCCGGAGUUGCUAGUAACCGCAGGUCAGCAAUACUGCGGUGAAUACGUUCCCGGGUCUU
rnacentral:rRNA from 1 species